rnacentral:misc_RNA from 1 species
UUUCCGUAGGUGAACCUGCGGAAGGAUCAUUCAUAAUAAAGUGUUUUAUGGCACUUUUUAAAAAUCCAUAUCCACCUUGUGUGCAAUGUUAGAUCUCGUCAAUCUUGGCGAGAUUUUUAUACAUCAACUCAUUUUUUAACUAAUUUGUCUGAAAAAUAUUAUGAAUACUUAAUUCAAAAUACAACUUUCAACAACGGAUCUCUUGGCUCUCGCAACGAUGAAGAACGCAGC